UGCGUAGGCGGUUCGUUAAGUCUGACGUGAAAUCCCCGGGCUCAACCUGGGACGUGCGUUGGAAACUGGCGAUCUAGAGUACGGUAGAGGGUGGUGGAAUUCCCGGUGUAGCAGUGAAAUGCGUAGAGAUCGGGAGGAACACUCGUGGCGAAGGCGGCCACCUGGACUGUAACUGACGUUGAGGCUCGAAAGCGUGGGGAGCAAACAGGAUUAGAUACCCCGGUA
rnacentral:rRNA from 1 species